GACGAACGCUGGCGGCGUGCUUAACACAUGCAAGUCGAACGCUGAAGCUUGGUGCUUGCACUGGGUGGAUGAGUGGCGAACGGGUGAGUAAUACGUGAGUAACCUGCCCUUGACUCUGGGAUAAGCCUGGGAAACUGGGUCUAAUACUGGAUAUGACAUGCCACUGCAUGGUGGUGUGUGGAAAGGGUUUUACUGGUUUUGGAUGGGCUCACGGCCUAUCAGCUUGUUGGUGGGGUAAUGGCCUACCAAGGCGACGACGGGUAGCCGGCCUGAGAGGGUGAACGGCCACACUGGGACUGAGACACGGCCCAGACUCCUACGGGAGGCAGCAGUGGGGAAUAUUGCACAAUGGGCGGAAGCCUGAUGCAGCGACGCCGCGUGAGGGAUGACGGCCUUCGGGUUGUAAACCUCUUUCAGCACGGAAGAAGCGAGAGUGACGGUACGUGCAGAAGAAGCGCCGGCUAACUACGUG
rnacentral:rRNA from 1 species